rnacentral:lncRNA from 1 species
GCGUUUUGCAUAUAAUGAAAGAAAACAAUAAUAAAAUCUGAAAGGAGAACCCGGAAGUGCGUUCAUUCUGUACAGGGCCGGAGGUUUUAAGAAGGCGAACACACUCUUCAGGAAGCAGGUGUUUACUCGGCGCCGGUAAGUUAGGUUUGCUGGCGCUGGCCAAUUCUACUGGCCCUCCCCGCUCCAAGGCCACAAACGGAUACAAAAAAUUCGAGUUGCCACGCGAGCAAAAUCAGACAAAAGCAAGUCCCAAGACGGAACUGGCUACAAAUAUAUGGGAUUUUAGCUCUCCUGAUCAUCUCAUGUAAGCGCUACACUUUGAAUUUUUUUUUUGUUGAUUUCCUAAGAACCUAUUUACAGACAUGACAGGGAUUCCCGUGAUGGCGGCGUUGCAAUUCUCUUCCAAGAAACAUUGAGUGUUGCUAGGCUGCCUGAUAUUACAGGAAUUGAAUGCAUUGUUGUGACAAUUUUUCUUAACGAGUGCAAGUCGCAGUUUCACCCGAAAGGCGAAGCAUCAAAUGCGAUAGCAACUUAGUAGAGAGCUAUACGGAGUAAGGAUAAUAGUUUUAUCAGCUGCGU